rnacentral:rRNA from 1 species
GCCAGACUCCUACGGGAGGCAGCAGUGAGGAAUAUUGGUCAAUGGGCGGAAGCCUGAACCAGCCAAGUCGCGUGAGGGAAGAAGGCCCUGCGGGUCGCAGACCUCUUUGGACGGGGAGCAAGGCCGCCGACGUGUCGGCGGAAGGAGAGUACCCGUAGAACAAGCAUCGGCUAACUACGUGCCAGCAGCCGCGGUAAUACGUAGGGGGCAAGCGUUAUCCGGAUUUACUGGGUGUAAAGGGAGCGUAGGCGGUUUAGCAAGUCAGAAGUGAAAGCCCGGGGCUCAACUCCGGGACUGCUUUUGAAACUGUUGAACUAGAUUGCAGGAGAGGUAAGUGGAAUUCCUAGUGUAGCGGUGAAAUGCGUAGAUAUUAGGAGGAACACCAGUGGCGAAGGCGGCUUACUGGACUGUAAAUGACGCUGAGGCUCGAAAGCGUGGGGAGCAAACAGGAUUAGAUACCCUGGUAC